GUGUUAAACAUCCCGCGCCAAGAAUAGGUUAUGUGUGCCAAAAAGUUCGACGCAGCCUAAGGACUGUCGGGGUGUAUUUCGUCUAAUAUAUAACACAUAAGUAUUGCAUAAAUAUGAUUACAUGGUACAUAAUGUAGCAAAGGAUAUCGUAAGUGGGACAUGCACUCGAUCGUGGUAGACGAACGACAAUGGGCUAGCGGAACGAAAUGCAGGGAUUGUGUUUCCAAGGGUUCGUCAAUCAAUCGCCUGCCACUUUAUUUAUGGGAUUCCACAGCGAGGAGCGGUGGCAUUUAUUUGGCAUUUUUCACCCACGAAAUGACCCCUCGAAAAAAAAGGCUGGACGCGGAGAGACUGACUCGUAAAUUUCACGAGAAACAACCACUAAGACUCGAAAGUAUAUUAGGCAGUGACAACUAUUAAAUUGACUUAUCAGGGAAUCCUGCGUAAGAAGAUAAACGUCUCGUGCUUUGUCAGUGGGUCAAACUUGUUCUCAUACUAAUUCCGCAUCCGAUUCCAAGUGCGUUGUACUGUCUCUGCUAUAAUCCGCUUUAUAUUCAUCGGGCAGUCUGCCAGCCCACGCAGAUUUUGGACACCUGUUCUUGUUUCGCAAUAGUGACUCUAUGUGGGAAGGUCAUGGAGAUAUAAAUAUAUUUAUAUAUAAAGACACAUAGAUAUAUUACGUCCAUAUCUUCAUAUGCUCCAUGUUAAACGCCACCGUAUAUGAAACAUGGAUAAAUAAUCGUUUAUUAAAGGGAAUUCAUCGAUGCUUCGUAAGUGUUUAAACGAUUUUCGAAACUGUCAUGUCGAUUCAAACAAUUCUAUAGUGCCUACUGCCUCCUACGUUCCGAGCUCGGGUCACGUUUCGUGGCGGAUCCUCAUGACGUUACGUAGGCGACUUUCCUCUUAGUGAUAAAACGUUGUCCAUAGGCAGGGGCAUUUAUACAAUGCAACCCCAUAACAAUGAGUAGUUUGUCAAACGUUGGCUAGAUUGAAAUUCCAGAUUGGACGUGACAAAAAAUCAGAGCGUUAGACGUGCCUAAUAAAUGGCUACGUGGUGUCACGAUCUGCACGAGAGAAGAAUUCGCGUACCUGGCAACGUUUUCAAGCGAGCGACGGCUCUUGAUAAUAAUAAUAAUAGCAAGAAUCAUAGGGUGAAGAACGGUGGCGUCUUUGACUGCUGAAUUACGAGACCGUUACGCUUCUCGACACGUGGUACAUAAUAACAUUGUCAUAAUAUUCCUUUGAACAAAGGCCAUUACAUAAAGCAGUACGUACAGGGGAGGAUACGCGUGUAUGAAUUUGCGUCUGUACAGCAAUGGAGCCCCAUAAUAUAAAGUCAGCGUGAAGCUGUCGCUGGUGGCGGUUAUACCAUGCCGUUAUGGCUUUCGACGUUCCAUGGCGUGUGCAGUCGUAACCACUUCGUCCAUGGACUGGCAAAGGAUUCAACCAUAUCAGUUUCCACGGGGUUUCUCAUUGCCAAUGUAACAUCAGUGGUUAAGGAUAUUCUAGUAUAGAAGUAAGUAUAUAGUAGAGUAACGGACUAGUACAGGUCGGGUGGAACCCUAUGGCUAAUAUAAGAAUUUUAUUUUCAGUGUCCUCAGGAAAGAUGAAUCAUGGGAGGCUUUUGAAAACCAUAACGAAUUUCGAAAUUUAAUUUAAGAGGACGAGACUGGUUUAUUCUAACCCUCAUUGAUAUUGGACCUGUCUUGCUUCAGGCUCUGCUGUUCCUGAAUGAGUCUGAACAUGCUGGUUGCAGCGGACAGCAGAUUUCGUUAGUUCAAAUUGAUUUUGAUUAAUGUAAUUUAAAUCAGAGUACGUAGGUUAGCGGAUUGGAUGCUGCGAGUAAUAAUUCGUUUAAUAUUCUUAUUAACUUUUGUAGCCCUUGGGCAGCGUUUGCAAAUGCGAUUUCUCGCAGGUGAGAAUAAGCAGCAGAUAGUAUUUACUGAUCACAGAGAAGCCACUCGACAUGGAUUGGCAAACACGACUUUUUCCCGUCAAGUCCGUACGUUAUAAAUAUCUUCUAGGUAAACGAUUCCAUCGAGCUGGGAUAAAGGCGUCCCCACAACGCGACAAUAAAGUAUACGACGGUACAAAAAUAAUUAUCAUCUUCCGCUUGUACAGCUGUCAGUACUGCCAUUAUGAAAACCAUCCAUGGGGUCUUAAACCUUCUUGAACAUUUCAUAAUAUAGUGAUUCAUCCGUAAGCAUCUUGUGGAACAUCCUGUAGCGAAGCAAGAAGACACAUCCAUGAGAACGAGAGGCAUAAGAUAUUUAGAAUGGCCAUAAGUCCCAUGGCAGACGCAACAACCUUAUCAAGGAUUGCAUUUCAUGACGUCAGAUUCACAACGGUGAUUAUUAAAUAGCGAAAUAAGUAUCUAACACAAACGGAAUGACAUAAAGGCCAGCAUUCAAUUUAUUUUCUCACCGUAGCUACACACUGGACAGUUGAAAUGAUAUUCAGGUAGCAUAAUUAAACAAGACUCUACGUAUAGGAGGGUUCAUUCAUUCAUGGCUCACUGGGUCCCACGCAUGGCCAUGACGCAGAAGAAUAUUUUGGGCCUUAUUACAAUUACCACACGACAAUACGCGCAAUAGUGCAUCUACCGCUAGACUCAAGAUUGAUUCAACUUACUAUUGCAUACGUGAAGAAACGACCCACGUUACAAGAAAGCGUGGCCACGACGACCACGAAGAUCCAAGGAAGAGGAAGAGGAGGACGAGAUAAAGAUAAAAAGAUAAAAAACUAAAGGAAUAUCUCGAUGCAAGGGACUAUUUGCCGUGGCUUCAGCGCAGCUUAGAGCUUCUCUUAGAUCAUUUUACGCGCGUGUAAGUACGCUAUCCAGUGGUAUGCGGAUUUAUUGACGUUGGUACAUAGGUACGUAGGGAGCAGUGCCUAUGGGUAGUGCAGAGCCUAGGAAGAUGCUGGAUAAAAGAUACCGCAGGUAUCCAGUGUUGACUAUGCGGACUUGGAAAAGAUACAAAUUAUUCCUGAUGCUGAUACCGUCCUGCGAAUAUAUACGUCAGCCUUUACGUUCGAACUAUCUUCCAUUGAUGGGAAUACGAUAGUGUCUUCACCGGCUGAUCUCUACCUUUCUUGGUAUAUCUUCCUCAUGGCGUAUCUUGUACGUAGUAACCAUUACACGGUUCGCUUUAGUCUACGGUAGAUUCGUGCUAUUAAUUCCUUUUGACUUGGAUGGAUCUUCUCCUUCUCUACUAUGGUUUAACAAGAUUUAUUAGAGUUAUUGUGCCUUGAUUUUAGCUAUUACUUGAUAACGCUCUUUAACUGCGUCUUGUAAUUUACUCAUUCACCACGCAUCGUUAGCCGAUCGGUAUGUUUUAUUGUGAACGGUUAUCAUAAUCAUUAUAGCCGCCUUAAGCUUCUGUAAUCGACGAUUUAUGUCGCAGUUAUGCUUUCCGAAGCUUGCCUGAAGGUGCUAAUGUUACGUAGGUAUUAGAUACGUGCUCUGGCUGACGUUCAGAUACGCCCGUAGGCGUCGGGACGCUUAGCGUCGUUCAAAAUGACUACGUCGUCAGUAACAAUUACUACGUGAAAUUUGAUAAAGUUUAAUUCAUUUAAUAUCCCCCUAAGAAUCUCUUAUCGUGCUUGUCAACAAGUAGAUUAAAGUAUAGAUAGUAUACUGAGAUAAAAUGUGUGGCUACAGGUACGUUUAAAGAAAUUGGUCCUGGUCACGAUUACAUGAUUUACUUACCUCGAGGCAUGGCUAUCUUCAUUAUCUACUGGGUAAUAGCUUUCGACUAAUUGGUAUCUCAUCUCUACGUGGUAAUUGCGUAAAACCCAGUAAAUCAAUUGCCGAGUACGUUGCUCUGUCACGAUACUUUAACUUUUAAAUCCCCGGACGAAGAUCAAGCCCAGGCGAUAUACCUCAGGUACCGGUAAAGUAUAUUCAGCAUAUACGUACAGGACUGCUGCCCAGACAUAAAGCAUUACGAUCGUGCAUUUCGCAACGAGCGAUCAGAAAGAUCGCAGGGCGGCAUGCAAAUGACAAUGGGACAUUACCAUUGGGAUAUCGUAAAGCUCACUAUAGGGAUCACUGAAUCAUGCGCCGGAGGGAUUUAGCGGAUCGUGCGGCGGGCUGCCACGGAGCUUAGAGAUCUUGGAAGUCAGAUGAUCGUUUCCUUUUACCAGCAAGAAAUCAAACGUGUAGACGGAAGAUCGAUCUACGACGAUGAUUUCGUAAUGCCAGGCGUGCAUAAGUGUCGGCGUAACAUGGAAACACGAUGUUCGCCCGAUUAGAAACAAGACAGGGACGCAGGCCGUCGAACUUGCUGGUAGCGUAUGAUACCGACUUAGAAAUACUGGAAACAAAUUGAAAUCGAGCGAAGUAUCGGCGGGAUAUAUGUAUACAUAGACAUUUACAAGGCCCGAUCCUCGAGAAAGGGAAAUUCCUCCGAGUGCGUCUGGUAUUCUUGCUUUACCCUCGCAACGUUCACGCCCAUUUACCCAGAUCCCCAGUCCCUGGGGCUACGAUACAGUCGACAGGUUCCUGGUUAAGUAGGAUAAUUUCCAUGCUGAUAGCAAUCCCGUAAAUCAGCGGGACUUAAUGCCCCGUGCGGCUCUUACGCUGUGGGCUCCAAUGAUCGGCUACUGAUUGGUGGACCCAAUGCAUUGGAAUUGCAUAUUGCUGAUGCGAUCGGAAUUUCAGGUUUCACGCCUUUACUAUUCGUACUUGGGUUUGGUAUGUGCUCGGUUAUUUUUGCAAGCUUUUCAAUCGAGCUUUUGCUCACCGUCCUUCCUGGAACGUUGAUUAAUGGUAUCUGCUGACCGUUGCGAGACUCUUGGGAUAAGGAUCGGCCACGUCAUUGCGGUAGGCAAUUGCCUUGCCGUAUUAAUUAAUGUUGCCUAACCUGCUGGCUUCAUUAUGAUUCGAUAAUAAUACCAUUCUGUUGUUUGACGUUCGGGGGAAGUAUUAUCCUGGGAUACAUUCAAUUGCGCAAGUACGUUCAGUGAGAAAGAUGUAAAGGGCUUUUAGGAUCGCAGGAUUAAAAAGUUACUGUCAGUUUUUAUCCUUGGAAUUAUCCUGAUUUUUCCUUUUGUUUCAGCUAUCCCUCAGGAUCUCAUAGUAUUCGUAUUCACUGUUGUCCAGGAUACUAGUUCUAUUACUAUAACAUGAGAUGUCGCAUUUAAAAGUCAAUGCGAACCGAGGAAACCAGUUUCGCAUAAUGCAAAAAAUCCUGCUGAACCUCGCGGAAGAUUUUUGUGAAUGGGACUAUUGUUGCCGUGCAGAGCAAGACGUGACAAUGCAUAAGGAAUUAUUCGGAGAAAGUAUUGAGAAUUCUGGAAAAAAUCUACAGUGACUACAGGUAGCUAAAAUACGUUUUAUACAAAAAUGUAACACUUUUUUUUUUCUACGUCUGAUAAUAAUCUGAUCUUCAGAUUCGCUGUCACUCGAAGAACAAAGAAAUGACUGGACUAAGGAAUCGUCUGGGCGUCUCCUGGGUAUCGUUUCCGGCGAGGAGUAUGGCAGUGCCUGCAGGUUCACAAUGAUAAAUUAAUGUCCAGGGGCGUGUUUUAGGGAGCCAUAUCAGGUGCUUGGAAUCGGCAAUAAAUAUCGUUUAAUACGAUCAGAUAGCUUGUAAAGUCGACGCGAUGCCGCCCUAAGGAUUCACCCUCGGAUUCGUUGAACGUUAUAUCGCGCUAGUUUAUACGCGAUGCUGUGUAUAUACUCUUGUUCCGGUUACAUCAUGAUUAAUUAAGGUAAUGAUCCGAGAGCUCAUUCAAGCCCCGAAUUCAUGGAUCGAACUAUAAUUUCCUUUUGGGAAAGCGAUUUCUUUCGUCGAACGAACGAUUUACCGACCGGACGAUCCUGGCCGCACAGGACCAGCCAAGCGGUCAGGAUUUAAUUGGUGUAUAAAUUCAGUGACUUCGAUGAUUUCGCAGCGGGCGAGGAACCACAGGUCAUCAAGGAAGACUUAAUUACAGUCUUGGCUACGUCUCAUAAUUAAUCGACGUUAUAUACAGGAUGAUUUAUCAUAUACUUCCUCCAUAGGACUUGCCUUGCGAUAUUAACUUUCGGCAAGUAUAUCACCUUUCAAGCAUAUUUCUAUGUACCGUAAAUAAUCUCAGAUAUCCUUAGAUCUCUCUCGAGGAUCUACAUGGAAUUGAAUCUUACAAGCAUUCGGAACGAGACUUAAUGAACUUGAUGACCGUGAUUACAGAUGUAUAUUAUAAUGUAAUAUAUCAAUUGACUUUGCGAUCUACCCGUUAUGCCAUUAUUUAUUUUGAUUAAAUUCAAUAUCAUUUUGAAUUCUGUUCUAGCCACAAGAAACAGUAAGAUCAUUGUUGCCAACUUUAAAUCGGAGCCACAUUGUUCUUCAGGUCCUUUAUCAGUCUUCAGGAGCCUCCCCCUGUCAUUGAUAUUAACGCCUACGUCAUCGUACCUUGAUGAUCAAGAACUUCUUGGUAAGAUAAAUAUUAUGGAAGACCAAUGGACCGCUCUCACGUGUCACGGAUCAUUGCAAAUUUUAUCACGUAAUUUCUUCAAGGAUUUAAUAAUUGAUCAGAAGAAUAUUCAACCGACGGUAACAGUAAUCCUGGUGGAUUUCAUGAUGAAACUGUACAGUCACGAAUAUCCAGUUCACAUUAUAAUGAUCUUCGGUACCAACACGCCGGCACUGUACGUACUGAAGAAGAGAGCAAAGCCAAAGUCCCAGCAUGCAGUCCAGCAGGAGAUCCCCGGGAUCGCCUUGGGAUACUUCACCUUCAUCCCCCGAUGCUGUGUAAUUACAAGAUAUAAAACAGCAGCCGGUCUACUGCCUUGUAUCCGGCGACUCGUAAGAGAAUUGCGAGAGGAGACUGUACAUCUACGACGCGUUAAAUCGCAUUUAUCUCGUGACGAGCUAUGGCCGCUGAGGAAAUGGCGAUAACGAUGCGGUAGGUCGUCCUGAUACAUUUCUCCUGGAAGCUGCUAACGAGAAUUUCGUAAGAGAAGAGCCAAGAGUUUUCUAUACGUGGGAUGCCAAGGAAAUCGACUGAUGGACCUAAUAACGAUUCGACCAAACGAAGCGGGAUUGAGCUAUGAGAUAAAGAAGCCUUUAUACAUUGUUAAAUAACAAUUAUCUUAAAUACCUAGAAUAACGAAUAACACAAGAUGCCUGAAGAAGAGGACUACUUUGGACGAGUCCCAACGUAGUACCAAGAGUACAAGGCUGACCGUUGCCGGCCAUAAAUUUUCCCCUCGUGUGGCAUGAUGAGUCGUUAAAUAAAUAAUAGACGAAGCAAGGUAGAGUCUAGAAUAUUAUG